rnacentral:rRNA from 1 species
GAUGAACGCUGGCGGCGUGCCUAAUACAUGCAAGCCGAGCGAACAGAUGAGGAGCUUGCUCCUCUGACGUUAGCGGCGGACGGGUGAGUAACACGUGGAUAACCUACCUAUAAGACUGGGAUAACUUCGGGAAACCGGAGCUAAUACCGGAUAAUAUAUUGAACCGCAUGGUUCAAUAGUGAAAGACGGUUUUGCUGUCACUUAUAGAUGGAUCCGCGCCGCAUUAGCUAGUUGGUAAGGUAACGGCUUACCAAGGCAACGAUGCGUAGCCGACCUGAGAGGGUGAUCGGCCACACUGGAACUGAGACACGGUCCAGACUCCUACGGGAGGCAGCAGUAGGGAAUCUUCCGCAAAGGGCGAAAGCUUGACGGAGCAACGCCGCGUGAGUGAUGAAGGUCUUCGGAUCGUAAAACUCUGUUAUUAGGGAAGAACAAAUGUGUAAGUAACUAUGCACGUCUUGACGGUACCUAAUCAGAAAGCCACGGCUAACUACGUG